CGGUAAUACGGAGGAUCCAAGCGUUAUCCGGAAUCAUCAGGUUUAAGGGAUCCGUAGACGGUCAGAUAAGUCAGUGGUGAAAGCCCAUCGCUCAACGGUGGAGCGGCCAUUGAUACUGUCUGACUUGAAUUAUUAGGAAGUAACUAGAAUAUGUAGUGUAGCGGUGAAAUGCUUAGAGAUUAUGUGGAAUACCAAUUGCGGAGACAGGUUACUACUAAUGGAUUGACGCUGAUAGACGAAGGCGUGGGUAGCGAACAGGAUUAGGUACCUCGGUAGUCCACGCCGUAAACGAUGGAUACUAGCUGUUGGGAGCAAUCUCAGUGGCUAAGCGAAAGUGAUAAGUAUCCCACCUGGGGAGUACGUUCGCAAGAAUGAA
rnacentral:rRNA from 1 species